rnacentral:rRNA from 1 species
UACGUAGGGUGCAAGCGUUAAUCGGAAUUACUGGGCGUAAAGCGUGCGCAGGCGGCUUUGCAAGACAGAUGUGAAAUCCCCGGGCUUAACCUGGGAACUGCGUUUGAAACUACAAGGCUAGAGUGUGGCAGAGGGGGGUGGAAUUCCACGUGUAGCAGUGAAAUGCGUAGAGAUGUGGAGGAACACCGAUGGCGAAGGCAGCCCCCUGGGUUAACACUGACGCUCAGGCACGAAAGCGUGGGGAGCAAACAGG